rnacentral:lncRNA from 1 species
ACAAAGUUCAAUCCCUUUGUGACUUCCAACCGAAGGAAGAAUUGCAAAAGGCAUUUCAAAGCACCUUCCCACAUUCCCAGAAAGAUGUCUUCCCCUCUUUCCAAACAGCUGAGACAGAAGUACAACGUGUGGUCCCUGCCCAUCCGAAAGGAUGAUGAAGUUCAGGUUGUAUGAGGACACUAUAAAAGGUCAGCAAAUUGGCAAAGUAGUCCAGGUUUAUAAAAGAAAUAUGUUAUCUACACUGUAUGGGUGCAGCAGGAAAAGGCUAAUGGUGCCACUGUCCACAUAUGCAUUCACCCCAGCAAGGUGGUUAUCACUAGGCUAAAAACAGACAAAGACCACAAAAAGAUCCUUGAAUGGAAAGCCAAAUCUCACCAAAUGGGAAAGGAAAAGGUCAAACACAAGGAAGAAACAAUUGAGAAGAUGCAGGAAUAA